rnacentral:rRNA from 1 species
GGAGCAACGCCGCGUGAGUGAUGAAGGUUUUCGGAUCGUAAAGCUCUGUUGUUAGGGAAGAACAAGUGCGAGAGUAACUGCUCGCACCUUGACGGUACCUAACCAGAAAGCCACGGCUAACUACGUGCCAGCAGCCGCGGUAAUACGUAGGUGGCAAGCGUUGUCCGGAAUUAUUGGGCGUAAAGGGCUCGCAGGCGGUUUCUUAAGUCUGAUGUGAAAGCCCCCGGCUCAACCGGGGAGGGUCAUUGGAAACUGGGAAACUUGAGUGCAGAAGAGGAGAGUGGAAUUCCACGUGUAGCGGUGAAAUGCGUAGAGAUGUGGAGGAACACCAGUGGCGAAGGCGACUCUCUGGUCUGUAACUGACGCUGAGGAGCGAAAGCGUGGGGAGCGAACAGGAUUAGAU